CUUUUAUCUGGACACAUUAUUGCAUUAUUCUGUAUCUUAAAGCAAACUUCAGAAAUUUUAACAAACUUUAUUUUAUUUCUCAUAAAUUAUCAAAGAGAAAAAUAUCCGAAGAAUUUGUACUUUUGUUCAUUUUAUUCCACAAUAUCCUUGUACCAAUUGUGAAAACUAGAUUUCUCUCUAAGGACAACAAGUCAGGAUUUACACAUUUGAAUUUCCAUGUUUUUACAAUACUCCUAAGAUAGUGAUCAAAAUUAUCAGUAGACUGAAAAAUUAGCUGAGGAGACAAACCAGUCCCUUCCAAAAUGUAUCAUAUUGUUUAUCCUACAGAUAAGUAAUUAAUGAAAAUUAUUGGUUAAAAAUAUUUUAAAUCUAUUAAUUUCUCAAACAAAACAGAAAAUUUUCUUUA